UACAGAGGGUGCGAGCGUUGUCCGGAAUCACUGGGCGUAAAGGGCGCGUAGGUGGUGGCUUAAGCGUGCGGUGAAAGCUCGGAGCUCAACUCCGAGUCGGCCGUGCGAACUGGGCUCACUGGAGCAUAGUAGAGGCAGGUGGAAUUCCUGGUGUAGCGGUGAAAUGCGCAGAUAUCAGGAGGAACACCAAUGGCGAAGGCAGCACUCUGGGACGUGACUGACGCUGAGACGCGAAAGCGUGGGGAGCAAACAGG
rnacentral:rRNA from 1 species